CCUACGGGUGGCAGCAGUGGGGGAUAUUGGACAAUGGGGGCAACCCUGAUCCAGCGACGCCGCGUGAGUGAAGAAGUAUUUCGGUUUGUAAACUUCUGUCAGCAGGGACGAAAGAAAUGACGGUACCUGAACAAUAAGCCACGGCUAACUACGUGCCAGCAGCCGCGGUAAUACGUAGGUGGCAAGCGUUAUCCGGAAUUACUGGGUGUAAAGGGCGCGUAGACGGUAAUGCAAGUCUGGAGUGAAAGCCAUGGGCCCAACCCCCGGACUGCAUUUGAAACUGUGUAACUUGAGUGCAGGAGAGGUAGACGGAAUUCCUAGUGUAGCGGUGAAAUGCGUAGAUAUUAGGAGGAACACCAGUGGCGAAGGCGGCUUACUGGACGGUAACUGACGUUGAGGCGCGAAAGCGUGGGGAGCAAACAGGAUUAGAUACCCGUGUAGUC
rnacentral:rRNA from 1 species